GGGAUAGAAGCUCAGUGGUUGAGCAAUCGAUUGCAGUGAUGUCACGUGGUCGAUGACGUGACCGACACCCAUCGAUAGGUCGCGCGUUCGAAUCGCGUCUGUCCCU